UUAACGUCAAAAUCAACCCUUGUACUCAAGAGAUUCCUUAAUAGAAUAUUGCUUAUGUAGUAGGUAGUCAUGUUGAUGCCACUACAU
rnacentral:misc_RNA from 1 species